rnacentral:rRNA from 1 species
AGUGAACGCUGGCGGUAGGCCUAACACAUGCAAGUCGAACGGCAGCACAGUAAGAGUUUGCUCUUACGGGUGGCGAGUGGCGGACGGGUGAGGAGUACAUCGGAAUCUACUUUUUCGUGGGGGAUAACGUAGGGAAACUUACGCUAAUACCGCAUACGACCUACGGGUGAAAGCAGGGGAUCUUCGGACCUUGCGCGAUUGAAUGAGCCGAUGUCGGAUUAGUUAGUUGGCGGGGUAAAGGCCCACCAAGGCGACGAUCCGUAGCUGGUCUGAGAGGAUGGUCAGCCACACUGGAGCGGAGACACGGUCCAGGCUCCUACGGGAGGCAGCAGUGGGGAAUAUUGGACAAUGGGCGCAAGCCUGAUCCAACCAUACCGCGUGGGUGAAGAAGGCCUUCGGGUUGUAAAGCCCUUUUGUUGGGAAAGAAAAGCAGCAGGUUAAUACCCCGCUGUUCUGACGGUACCCAAAGAAUAAGCACCGGCUAACUUCGUG